AACGAACGCUGGCGGCAUGCCUAACACAUGCAAGUCGAACGAGAUCUUCGGGUCUAGUGGCGCACGGGUGCGUAACGCGUGGGAAUCUGCCCUUUGGUUCGGAAUAACAGUUGGAAACGACUGCUAAUACCGGAUGAUGACUAAAGUCCAAAGAUUUAUCGCCAGAGGAUGAGCCCGCGUAGGAUUAGGUAGUUGGUGUAGUCAAGGCGCACCAAGGCGACGAUCCUUGACUGGUCUGAGAGGAUGAGCAGCCACACUGGGAAUUAGACACGGCCCAGACUGCAACGGGAGGCAGCAGUGGGGAAUAUUCGACAAAAGGCGAAAGCCUGAUCCUGCAAUACCGCGUCGGUAAUGGAGGCCUUAGGGGUGUAAAGCUCUUUAACCCGGGAUGAUAAUGACAGUGCCGGUAGAAUAAGCGCCGGCUAACUCCGUGCCAUCCGCCGCCGUAACAC
rnacentral:rRNA from 1 species